CUUCUUUUUGUUCACAAUACCCACAAUGUACUCUGUGACCUGGCUGGUCACAUAAUCAACAUGCGUACCACCCUUAAUUGUCGCAAUGGAGUUGACAAAGCUAACCUGUUAGUAGCCAAAAACGAGUUUACUCAUUCAUCAUGAAGAACAAAAGGUAAUAAUAGCCAGCCAUUAUAUAUAUAUAUAUAUAUAUAUAUAUAUAUGUUGAAACCGUCCAUCACUUAAGCUCACACAAACUUCCCAUCUAUCAUUAACUUUCUCAUUCAUCCUACUCACACAAAAACUCAAAAAGAUCAAAAUCUAUUCCAAGACACCAAAAUUGUUAUAACUCAAUAACGAAUCAUAGAACAAACCUUGGGAGAGGCUCAGUCCUUGAUUUACUGGCGGCACUUAAGUAGAGAUCAACAUAAUCACUGAAUGACUUAAUUGGUACUCGUUUUCCAUUCAGGUCAACUUUGACAGUCUGUCCCAAACAGCCAGCAAUAUCAAACACUCGCUUACUCAUUAGAGCAACCACAUCGUUCUCCAAUUCAGUCAUGUUAAACUUCUUCAAAUCAGGCUUGAAUGUAACCUUCGUCCAAUUCUCACCCUUAUUGCACUUGGUUAUAAAUAGUUUAGACAUGUUCCCCAUAUUGUUUUCAAAGACCUAAAACAUCACCAGUAAUGUCAAUCAAAAUUCCUCAAAUUACUCUAAUCAAUCGAAAUCUAAAACUCAACACAGAAAGCAAAUAAAACGAUUCCAAUACCUGCUUAUACUUCUUGAGUGAUCUCUUCCCAUCUGCAAUCUCUAUAAUGAAUUCAGUAGAGAAGAUGUUUGUAAGCGUAGCACCAAAUCCGUUUCUUCUACCAGUAGUCUUCUUAACAUUAUUAUCGUAAUUCCUCCUCAACCAAUGACCAAAAAAAAUCCCAGGCACAAAAACACCUUCUUCAAGAGGAACUCCAUCACCACUGUUACACACACUAAUCUGAUUCUUCUCAACAUCGAUCACAACUUUGACAGAAUCCAUAGACGGAUCUCUCCGUUUAUUAUCAGCAGCAUUCACAAGGAUCUCAUCAAAGAUCUUAUACAAUCCAGGAACAUAAGUAACAGAACGACAAACCAUCUCUUCCUUCUCAUAAACCCAAAGCGUUUGGGUAUGUUUCUCAAUCGAUCCUAUAUAAGAAUCAGGACAAAGUAGGAUAUGCUCAAUUGUAUUCCCAGCGGAAGCUAGCGAUGAUGCCGGAGCCUUCGCAACAUUGGCGUUGUCGAUGUUUUGCAUCGGGAGCUUCGAAGCCAUGUUUAAGAGGAACGACGAGAGUUUCUUAGAGAUGGAUCUAGAAAUUAGGGUUUUUUUUUUUGGGGAAGAAGAAGAAGAAGGAUUUUAAUCUAGUCGGCCCCUGUACUCAAAAUCCAUUCCAUUUAGCCUCGUAAUAAAAUUAAUAUAGUUAAUAGUUUAUUUUAAUUCAGAAAAAUAGUAAAAGACAAAUAAAACAAGGAGUUUUCACUUAUUUACGACCUAACCAGUCAGUUGGAUCUAGAUCCAUAUGACUUUCGGAUAUUUUAUCCCCAAAGUCGAAUCCAAACACUAAUUUCCAAAUCACCUUUUUUUUUAUUUCUCCUCUCUACGACUUUUUCAUCUUUUUCGUUUCUCUCUGUCCCGAGUCAACAAUCCGACAAACACAAAGCUUUCAAUCUCUUUUCUUCUUCUUCUUUCUUCUUUUUUUUUUCUCUCUUUUCUCGAUUCCAUCGAUACUCAUUCAUCUUUUUCAUCUUCCCUCUUCACUCGUUUCUAUCGAUCCAAAGAUCCGUCCUCUCUCUUCUUCUUCGUGAGAAAUUCGCAGUGAAAUCGAGAAAUCCGCCGUGAGAACUCCGUCGUGUCUUCUCUUUGUAAGAUUUCAUUUGUUUGAUCCCUAAUUUUGUUUUAUUGUGUUAGGUUUAAUUAGGAUUUGAUUUCUUCCAAUUUCUUCUUCUCUGUGAGGGUUUGAUAUGUAAUUCUCUUUGAUUUUGUUUGAAACAAAUGCAUUUUGAAUGGAAUUUCGAUUACAAUUAGGAUUUUUUAUGAUUACAGUUCGGAUUUUAAGAUUACUAAUAGGAUUUGAAUUACAAUUCGGGUUUGAAAUUCGGACCACAUGUAGCUACUUUUUCUUGUUUUUAUUUGGAGAUAUUGAGUGAAAGUUGUAACUUUGUUUGUAAACUCUUCUUAAAAUGAUUGAUUUCUCUUGGUCAAUUUUGGAAGAAAUCUGGUUUCAAGUAAGUUAAUAAGGAGUGGAUUGCAGACAUAGAUGAAAUUUUUUGUACGUAUAUAUUAGCCUAUAACAUUUGUUUCUCUAUUACGAGAGGAGGAAAAGGAAAAGGAGACUGAGACUGAGACUGAGACUGAGAAGGAGAAGGAGAAAGAGAAGGAUAAGGAGAAGAAGAAGCAGAAGAAGACUUGGUGUGUUCAGAUGUGUUUUGGUUUCUAAUGUUAUGUAUGAAUCUAAGUGUUUAGGUACAAAUGGUACACUUAUGUACAACUAUGUAUCUGGGUUUGUAUGAAUCUAAGUUUUUUUGACAGAAAAAUCACCAAAAAACUAUGAGUCAAAGUGUUUUGAUGAAAAAAUUCACAACAACACUAUGAAUCUACUAAGUAUGUUAAAAAAUAUAU
rnacentral:lncRNA from 1 species